ensembl:lncRNA
UUAGUAGAGAGAGCAUGUGCUCCCUAAAAAUAGAACUUUUCAUCUAUGCGCUUCAGUUGAAAGCUACUGAGGACUGGACACAGUGGUUAGUCUUGGGACCAGUGCUAUUCAACAUCUUCAUCGCUGACACAGACGAUGGCAUCGAGUGCAUCCUCAGCAAGUUUGCAGAUGGACCUGGACAGGCUGGAGAACUGGGCCCAUGUGAAACUAAUGAAGUUCAACAAGGCCAAGUGCAAGGUGCUGUUCUUGGGCUGGGGCAAUUCCAGGUAUUUCUACAAACUGUGGGAAGAUCUCCUUGAGAGCAGUCCUGCGGAAAAGGACUUGUGGGUCCUGGUGGACAAGAAGCUGGAUAUGAGCCAGCAGGGUGUGCUUGCAGCCCGGAAGGCCAACUGUGUUCUCGGCUGCAUUGAAAAAGGGGUGGCCAGCAGGGAUAGGGAGGUGAUUAUCCCCCUCUACUCAGCUCUUGUGAGGCCCCAUCUGGAGUACUGCGUCCAGGCCUGGGGCCCCCAGCCCAAGAAAGAUGUGGAACUCUUGGAAUGGCUCCAGAGGAUGGCCUCUAAGAUGAUCAAAGGGCUGGAGCACCUCUCCUGUGAGGAAAGGUUGAGGGAACAGGGCUUGUUUAGCUUGGAGAAGAGAAGGCUCCAGAAUGACCUCACUGUGGCUUUCCAAUAUUUGAAGGGAGUGUGUAAACAGAAAGGGGAGCGACUGUUUAUGAGUUGAUACUGAUAGGACAAGGGGGAACGGUUUUAAAACUGAGACAGGGGAGGUAAAGGUUAGAUAUUAGAAGGAAGUUUUUCACACAGAGGGUGGUGUCACACUGGAACACGUUGCCCAAGGAGGUUGUCAAUGCCCCAUCCCUGGAGGCAUUCAAGGCCAGGCUGGGUGUGGCUCUAGGCAGCAUGGUCUAGUGGCUGGCAACUUUAAAAUAUGAUGUAGAGUGGCUUGGCAGCCACAUUAACCUAUUCCUUCAGGACCCGGGGAUGCAUGUCAUCUUUCCCCAUACACUUGUAUAAAUUUGGUCUCAUAAGCUGGUCUUGAACUUUCUCUUUGCUUACAGUGGGAUAGAUUUUGCUCCUCCACCUCCUGCCAAAGGGUUCAGGUACAUGAGAGAUGUGGGAAGCCUGAG